rnacentral:rRNA from 1 species
UCAGUUGUGAAAGUUUGCGGCUCAACCGUAAAAUUGCAGUUGAUACUGGAUGUCUUGAGUGCAGUUGAGGCAGGCGGAAUUCGUGGUGUAGCGGUGAAAUGCUUAGAUAUCACGAAGAACUCCGAUUGCGAAGGCAGCCUGCUAAGCUGCAACUGACAUUGAGGCUCGAAAGUGUGGGUAUCAAACAGGAUUAGAUACCCUGGUAGUCCACACGGUAAACGAUGAAUACUCGCUGUUUGCGAUAUACGGCAAGCGGCCAAGCGAAAGCGUUAAGUAUUCCACCUGGGGAGUACGCCGGCAACGGUGAAACUCAAAGGAAUUGACGGGGGCCCGCACAAGCGGAGGAACAUGUGGUUUAAUUCGAUGAUACGCGAGGAACCUUACCCGGGCUUAAAUUGCACUCGAAUGAUCCGGAAACGGUUCAGCCAGCAAUAGCGAGUGUGAAGGUGCUGCAUGGUUGUCGUCAGCUCGUGCCGUGAGGUGUCGGCU